CUGGCGAAUAAUCAAAGCCUCCAACAAAAGAGGGUGUGUGUGUGUGUGUGUUGGGGGGGGGAGAAAAAUGAAAUAAAAACUACAUGAGCAGUCAUACAUUUCUAAUGGGACUCUUUUAAUCUUGCAAGGGAGACUUUCAAUAGUGAAUUAGUCUUUUUUGUGUUCCUUUAAUGCUUCCAAGAGAAAUAUAUGCAAAUCUCUGGCUAAUGCUAACAGCAGUGACAAAGGAGCCAGCUCUUCCUCUGCUACACUGUGUUACCCAGCCGGCAGUGCAGCAGUGGCCGGAAUAAUGCCUCCAGAUUCCAACAAGGCCUGCUGGAUCAAAACCAGUAAUGAACACAUAUGGAUGCUCUCUGCUAGAAAGAUGUCUAUCUUCCAGCAGCCAGCACCUUGGUCAGGGCUUCCUGUGCGUGUUUUUUUAAGCCUCACCAGGCUAUGAUUUUAACCACUGGUGCUACUGGACAGAGCAGACAUCUCCAUCUUCUUUUUUUCCUCCCCCAUUUAAAAAAAAAAAAAAAAAAAUAUCUGCAUCUUUGGAGCGUUCGAAAGUCUCUGCGGCUCCAUUACAGUAAAAGUGAAUUGUCAAGAAGUGACAGGCGGCUUAGCUUUAAAGAAAAAAAUGAGAAAAUGUGAAUUUUAACGUAAAAUAAACAUACAGAUUCAAACAAUGUGAUAUGAAACAAUCACAAAGGUUGGAGAAGGUGAAGUUGGCUGAACUCUCGUCUUUAACCUGUAGCUGUUGCUAUUAUAAUUAUUGAUAAAUUGAUAAAUGCAUCUCUACACGAUGCUUGAUGACACGCAAUCAAAACGCAUUGAUGUCGGCGCUUGAAAUCCAUCUAUUUUCAUUUUGAGGGCCUGCCUGGCAAAGUCUAAACGUGGUUAACUAGUAGAGGCAGAGUUAAUCCUUUUAUCUAGAUCCCUGCUGCAGGGGAUCCCAAACACACUCUGAUUAAAAAAGGAAACGUGGGCAAUGAACAGUUUAAGAAUCAUGGGCCCUAAACAGAUAAAGGCGGAACAUCUUGUUGCUAUGGCAGUGCAUAUGGAAUGACUGGCGACAGUUCUCUCCCCCAUCUAAUAUAUUCACAUUAUUUAUGAAAUAUUUUAUAAGUAGCAUAGCAAAUGCUAAAUAUAAAUCCCAGGGAGAUGCACUGUGCCUUUCCAGCUGCAGUUGUGGAAUGCCAGUGCCCGUGUAACACAGCUUCUUCUUUGGAAAGGCUGGGUGUUUGUUCACAAGACACACCGCUUUUGAUUCUCCCAUCCUCCUAUUCUUCAAUAAGUUUUUCUUUUUUAAGAAAAAGAAAAGAGAGGAGAAGGGGAAAAAAAAGAAAAACCUCGAUCUUUUUUACAUUGGCAGAUAGACACCAUGAACAAAAGAGACAAUUUGAUCUGCUCAUGUGGGAAAUCAGAUUCCCGUCUGAGAUUUAUCCAGUGCACUCCAGGAUUCAAGUGAAGUAUCGGCCAAAAAAAAAAAAAAAAAAAAAAAAGGAAAAAAGAAAACUGAAGGAAAUGUACGAUAUCAUAUGGAAUAUGUAGCCCGGAGAAGAAAUAGAACUGUUUUAAAUAUACAUACAAUUAUUUUUCUUUAACGGCAGAUAAAAAAAUAUCUACAGAAGCGGAGAACAGAUUUUUAAGGCACACUGUGUGAGACAGUCAGACAGAUGCGAACCAGACAUCCAGAGCACAGGACAUGUUACCCCCCCUUCCUCCUCCUCCUCCUCCUCCUCCUCCUCCUCUGUAUGCUGUGACAGAGCAGGACAACUGCACCGCUAUUUCUCCUGUCAAUACUCUCCUAGCAUCCAUUUUCACCUGGCUGACACCUUUUACUGGUCAAGGGAUGAAUAAAUCACACUUAGUGUACUCCCCUGGUAGUUUGACUAAAAAAAGGAUAUCAACAUGAAGGAGGACUGCAGUGUUUUCCUGUCAUCGCUGCCCCUGAGCCUCUUAGAUCAAUAUACUGUAGGCCUUUUCUCUGUGUGCCAAGCGCGGCGGUAUGCAGGAUGUGCAGGAAGGAGGCCCCCGUUCUCCCCGCACGGUGGAGGAGACAUAAUCUUGGGUGUCGACUGGCCUAUUCUGCUUCCCAUUUGACUGCCUCUUCCAGCCUUCUGGCUCUCUGGAGGGCCGGGCCUUUAUGCCGUCCUAUCACACACUGGGCUGCAGGAACAGCGCUUUUGUGAUGGCUGUGAUUAGUCUUUUGUGUUCCCAGGUAGAAUUAAGAUGAAAUUCUACAGGCAGUCAUUGUGUUCCUAUCUUCAGGACACUCAAAGAAAUAUGUUGGGUUUUGAAGGGGUGAAAUGAAGCCCGCAGGGCCUUGGCAGACCUUGCUCUGUGGGGAAAUACACAGUGGAAACACAAUGGGAACAAUCUUGUCCUUCAGUUUCCUUUUGUGCUCUGCUGAACCUUAGUCAGUGCUGCCCAUUUACUGUAGCCUUCUUUUUAACAGAACAGUAUUGUCUCACUCCAGUCUGCCUUUCCCUUUUUUGCUAGCUUCUGAGACAGACCCAAAGGCUGAUGAGAUGACAGCCGCGACUUUGCCAGAGUCUGGGAGACCCUCAGGGUUUAUUACCCACAUUCCUCCAAGUGUUGGGUAUGCAAAUAAAGUUUGGGAUGGCGGCUUUCAGAUGUGAUAAUUAUGGAUUUAUUUGUAAGCUGUCACUUCCCUUAAUGCUCAGGGACAUCAAAAUAAGUUCAAAUGCAACCAUCAGAGAGGAUCACAUUUGUUAGUGUACCAGAGAUUCAAACAACAUGUGAUUCUCAUGACACCAAAGGUCUGUCAAUAACCACUCAUUUAGACAGCAGUGUGCUUUGGAGACCUCCGCUGCAUGCCGUCCCGCUCAAAAUGUCUGGUAGAAAAUAUUUACAUUUUCUCAUUCGGUUAGAUAUUCAAAACAUCAAGGCGCUUUUUAUCUGCGGGUAACGCACAAACAAAGACGGAGCGCAAAUUUUUAUUGCCACCUCAUCCCCCUGAAACAGACUGGAGCUGUGUACAACUGUUUCAAUCAAACCACUGAUUAAAAAAAAAACAAAACACAGAAGCAGCUUUGUUAGACUCGCACACCAUCGAGCUAGUUGGCUUCAUGUUGCAGCAGUCCUCCCAGUAAAUAUCCUUACCCUUUAACAUCUGGAGGUUACAUCAGCAAGAUUCUUGACAGGAGGACAUGAAUGAACAAACAUGUAAACGGGAUCAAAACCUUUAAAUAUAGGCUAUAACUAUUCAGGGCCUGCCAGAUCUCUGAGAGAGACAACAAAGUGCCUCCCAACGAAUCGCUCAUCUAUUGUCUUGCGUCGAGUGAUGCCUAAUGGGGCAAGCGUAGGUGAGGGUUUCCAGCUGCUCUUCCAGCAGGAGAGGGAAGGAGCACCGUGCCUACCCGAGAAUCAGCCUGGCUGCCAGGGCCGCCUCACAUCACAGACACUCUGAUGGAAGAAAAUGGCUAAGCCCAGAGAGUGCUAUCUCUUUCCAGCUCAAUUCUCAAACAUUGGUCUGUCGGCCUCUAGGAGAGUUCUCUGUCAUUGUAUAAGUGCACAUUAAGGCCUGAUAAAAACUAUGGAAUCCAGCCAUCCGUCUUGAUUUGCCGGCGUUGGGGAGCGGGGAGCACGAGCACAGAAUACCUGCCACUCAGUGGAAGAAUACUGCAACUGUAGGCGUUGGGCUUUAGACAAAG